UACGUAGGGAGCAAGCGUUGUCCGGAAUCAUUGGGCGUAAAGCGCGCGUAGGCGGCUCGGUAAGUCAACUGUGAAAGCUCCGGGCUCAACUCGGAGAGGCCAGUUGAUACUGCCGUGGCUAGAGUCCGGUAGGGGAGCGUGGAAUUCCUGGUGUAGCGGUGAAAUGCGCAGAUAUCAGGAGGAACACCAGCGGCGAAGGCGGCGCUCUGGGCCGGAACUGACGCUGAGGAGCGAAAGCGUGGGUAGCAAACAGG
rnacentral:rRNA from 1 species